GUUUGAUCCUGGCUCAGGAUGAACGCUGGCGGCGUGCUUAACACAUGCAAGUCGAACGAACCUUCGGGUUAGUGGCGGACGGGUGAGUAACGCGUGAGAAUCUGCCCUCAGGAGGGGGAUAACGGCUGGAAACGGCCGCUAAUACCCCAUAUGCCGAGAGGUGAAAUGAAUUUCGCCUGAGGAUGAGCUCGCGUCUGAUUAGCUAGUUGGUAAGGUAAGAGCUUACCAAGGCAUCGAUCAGUAGCUGGUCUGAGAGGAUGAUCAGCCACACUGGGACUGAGACACGGCCCAGACUCCUACGGGAGGCAGCAGUGGGGAAUUUUCCGCAAUGGGCGAAAGCCUGACGGAGCAACGCCGCGUGAGGGAUGAAGGCCUCUGGGCUGUAAACCUCUUUUCUCAAGGAAGAAGACAUGACGGUACUUGAGGAAUAAGCCACGGCUAAUUCCGUGCCAGCAGCCGCGGUAAUACGGGAGUGGCAAGCGUUAUCCGGAAUUAUUGGGCGUAAAGCGUCCGCAGGCGGCCUUUUAAGUCUGUUGUUAAAGCGUGGAGCUCAACUCCAUUUCGGCAAUGGAAACUGGGAGGCUGGAGUGUGGUAGGGGCAGAGGGAAUUCCCGGUGUAGCGGUGAAAUGCGUAGAUAUCGGGAAGAACACCAGUGGCGAAGGCGCUCUGCUGGGCCAUAACUGACGCUCAUGGACGAAAGCCAGGGGAGCGAAAGGGAUUAGAUACCCCUGUAGUCCUGGCCGUAAACGAUGAACACUAGGUGUCGGGGGAAUCGACCCCCUCGGUGUCGUAGCCAACGCGUUAAGUGUUCCGCCUGGGGAGUACGCACGCAAGUGUGAAACUCAAAGGAAUUGACGGGGGCCCGCACAAGCGGUGGAGUAUGUGGUUUAAUUCGAUGCAACGCGAAGAACCUUACCAGGGUUUGACAUCCUGCGAAUCCCUUGGAAACUUGGGAGUGCCUUCGGGAACGCAGAGACAGGUGGUGCAUGGCUGUCGUCAGCUCGUGUCGUGAGAUGUUGGGUUAAGUCCCGCAACGAGCGCAACCCACGUCUUUAGUUGCCAGCAUUCAGUUGGGCACUCUAGAGAGACCGCCGGUGAUAAACCGGAGGAGGGUGUGGAUGACGUCAAGUCAUCAUGCCCCUUACAUCCUGGGCUACACACGUACUACAAUGCUACGGACAAAGGGCAGCAAACUCGCGAGAGCUAGCAAAUCCCACAAACCGUGGCUCAGUUCAGAUCGUAGGCUGCAACUCGCCUACGUGAAGGAGGAAUCGCUAGUAAUCGCAGGUCAGCAUACUGCGGUGAAUACGUUCCCGGGCCUUGUACACACCGCCCGUCACACCAUGGAAGUUGGCCACGCCCGAAGCCGUUAG
rnacentral:rRNA from 1 species